CAGGCAGAGGCCACCUCCACUCCUCAGACGCAGAGCAAGCUCAGCUCUGGCUGCUCAGGAUCCUGUUGCCAUGGAGAUGCCAGAGCUCCUCAGAGCAUUGGAGGCACUGGGCGUGGCCUGCCCUCAACAUGGUUUGAAGCCUGGGACUGUGAGCUCCAUGAAGACAGGGCCCUCAUCUGUCUUGUUCAGCAAUGUCUCUCCAAGCCCUGGAAUACUGCCUGGCACAGAGGCUCAAGGCGAUGGAGAGGGAUGAGCUCACGUGUGCAGAUUUGCUGGGAAGCCACCUGGAGGCUGCACGACCUGGCUGGGGCUAGGAGGCUGCAGGGAGACUGAGACAGAGGUGCACAGAAAUGUAGAGACCGAUGGAGAAACAGCACGAGCCAGAGCCAAUGAGAGAGAUUGAUGUGGGAAUCUGUGUUCUCGGGCUGAGUUAAUCCCCAAACUCAGCUCCUGGUUUCCAGUUCUCCCCAGCUGCCUCGCUCCUG
rnacentral:lncRNA from 1 species